rnacentral:lncRNA from 1 species
GAGACAAGCUGCCCCUGUCGUUUGGUGUAGUGGGACUGAACAUUCUGCUCCUAGCCCGAGGUUAGGGUGGCUAAGAUGCAGCCCUCUGCCUUUUUCUCCCUCCAGGGGUCACUGGAAACGGUCGACACUUCUCUGUUCUCCUCUCCUGGAUCUGUAAAUUCCAUUGCCAGCAGUCUGGUGUCCCAGGUCUGGCGCUUCUUUGGCUGUGGACAUGAAGAGGUUACUCCAGCCCUGGAGCCUGCUGGGCUGAGUUAGCAAUUCCCCUCCACAUCCAGGAGCUCUCCAAGUAGCAGCUCCCUUUGCACCACGCAAAGGGGAUAGCAGAGCAGGCUAGGGACACCGCUGCAGUAGGUCGCAGCAGGGGUUCUGUCAGCAUGUGUCAUCCCGUGGAUCCCCACUGUCAGGCCAGGCGGCCGGGAACUGGAAGGCAAAGGCAUCCGGAGGAGUGAAGGAUGCCCCCUUAGCUGCAGAGCGCCUGCUGGAACUGCUGCUGCUGCUGCUGCUGCUGUUGCUGCACACGCCUUUCGCUGUCUCCCCAGGCUGCAGCGGCCCCUGGGACCCAGAAGCGGGACUGGAGCCGCAGAGAUCCAGGCAGGACCCAGGAGUCUCGGACUGCCGCCUGUGAGGCAGCUCCCCAGGGAGCCUGGGCAGUGCUCUGCUGGCUGCCCGGUGCAGGGCUGGAGCCCUCUCUAGCCAGUGUGGCUGAGAAGCAAUCAUCUCUUCCCCAGCCACAGGAGCGGCCCAUCCACAUCCAGGCUUCUUUCUUGAGCAGAGGAAGUAACUCCUGUUGGGGCAGCUUUGACUGAGCUCUACAGCUAAGGCUUGUACACCAGCCCCCUCGUUUGCAGAGCCUUCGGGGUCAUUUCUCAGCUGCCGAAUUUGAGAGAAAAAAACAAAAACAAAACAAAACUGUGAGAACAGAGCAGAGUGUGGAGCCUUGUAAACUUUGGAGGCGGGGACAUUUUCUUGAAGGGGACAAGUGGCCCCAAAUCUACACUGUUCUCGGGCUAGUGGCAAAGCCUAUUGGUGGAACACCAGCCACAAGGCCAACAGCAAGGACUUACGACCGUCAUGGAGUCCGUGUUGGCAGCAUCCAGUUCUCCCACAGGCCGGGUUACCUUCUCCCGUGUCUUCGGCCAACAGUGCCAGCUGAUGGAAGCAGCGGUGCAGUCAUUGCACACCCUAAAUGACCAGAUUUCCCAUUUCAUUGUUACCAAGUCGAAGGCACUGGAGGAAGACGAUGACCCCUUUCUACCCACGGAGAAAGAGACACUGAAGAACUCGAUGAUAUUGAUGAGACAUCUCUUAAUGGAUGCCCAGCAGGCGCCUCACUCAGCCUGGUUCUCAUGGAUUCUCCUCGACCAUCUGGCCAGUGAGAUCGUGUCUCUGCUUGCCCAUGCUGGGAUUAUAGACGCACACUUCAACACAAGAGUGCUGAGUUGUCAAAUCAACUUCUCAUACCUGUAUAGCAAGCAUUUGCCAGAAUGAACUGUCUCUUUAAUCCCAAAUCAUAUAUACAUUGUAUAUAAUUUUUUUUUGUAUAAACUUUUUGGCUUGGUUUUGUUG